ACCACACGAAGCUGGAAUCGCUAGUAAUCGCGGAUCAGAAUGCCGCGGUGAAUACGUUCCCGGGUCUUGUACACACCGCCCGUCACACCAUGGGAGUCAGCAACGCCCGAAGUCAGUGACCCAACCUUUAAGGAGGGAGCUGCCGAAGGCGGGGCAGGUGACUGGGGUGAAGUCGUAACAAGGUAUC
rnacentral:rRNA from 1 species